CAGAGAAUAGUUUAAGAAAAAUUUUAAUUUUGGAGAUUAAAGAUGGGCAUGGGUCUUUCUCUGA
rnacentral:tRNA from 1 species